rfam:Clostridium butyricum E4 str. BoNT E BL5262 CLP.Contig65, whole genome shotgun sequence.
UUUUAUUCAGGGAAUGAAGUCUCCCAUGAUAUAAUCUAAAGUGCUAUUAACGCUGAUGACUUCUGUGGUUUA